UGGGGGAUCGUCUAAUGGUAGGACGCUGCGCUCUGGACGCAGUAAUCAUGGUUCGAAUCCAUGUCCCCCAG
rnacentral:tRNA from 3 species